rnacentral:rRNA from 1 species
CCUGGCUCAAGACGAACGCUGGCGGCGUGCCUAAUACAUGCAAGUCGAGCGAGCCGAACCAAUUGAUUACCUUCGGGUAUGAAGUUAGGGAAGCGAGCGGCGGAUGGGUGAGUAACACGUGGGUAACCUACCCUAUAGUCUGGGAUACCACUUGGAAACAGGUGCUAAUAUCGGAUAAAAGGAGAGAUCACAUGAUUUCUUUUUGAAAGGCGGCGUAAGCUGUCGCUAAAGGAUGGACCCGCGGUGCAUUAGCUAGUUGGUAAGGUAACGGCUUACCAAGGCAACGAUGCAUAGCCGAGUUGAGAGACUGAUCGGCCACAUUGGGACUGAGACACGGCCCAAACUCCUACGGGAGGCGGCAGUAGGGAAUCUUCCACAAUGGACGCAAGUCUGAUGGAGCAACGCCGCGUGAGUGAAGAAGGUUUUCGGAUCGUAAAGCUCUGUUGUUGGUGAAGAAAGAUAGUGAGAGUAACUGCUCAUUAUUUGCCGGUAAUCAACCAGAAAGUCACGGCUAACUACGUGCCAGCAGCCGCGGUAAUACGUAGGUGGCAAGCGUUGUCCGGAUUUAUUGGGCGUAAAGCGAGCGCAGGCGGAAAGAUAAGUCAGAUGUGAAAGCCCUCGGCUUAACCGAGGAAUAGCAUCGGAAACUGUCUUUCUUGAGUGCAGAAGAGGAGAGUGGAACUCCAUGUGUAGCGGUGGAAUGCGUAGAUAUAUGGAAGAACACCAGUGGCGAAGGCGGCUCUCUGGUCUGUAACUGACGCUGAGCUCGAAAGCAUGGGUAGCGAACAAGAUUAGAUACCCUGGUAGUCCAUGCUGUAAACGAUGAGUGCUAAGUGUUGGGAGGUUUCCGCCUCUCAGUGCUGCAGCUAACGCAUUAAGCACUCCGCCUG